CAGACAGAGCCUCUCUUCUGAAUUGUGUCUAAAGACACAAUUGGCAGGAGGUAAAAGAAGAAAAGAUUUAUUUGCUGUUGUUUCCAUCAAGUUAACUACUGAUACAAUCUGUGUUUGUUUUUAUACUCUUUUUCUGCUUUUACAUUUAUAGGAUGCCUCCAUUCCCCAGCACACCUUGUUGAUUUAGUCUGGAAAGAGAAAAGUUCCCUUCACACAGCUCACACACAGCUCAGCAUCCCAGGGAGUGGAUGGGAACACCAAGAGGAGCUGUUCUCCCAUGAGAGGGCAGGGCAGUGACUGAAAAGCUCUGCAUUGACACAACAGCCUGGCAUGGACAGACUCGAAGUGAGAGGAUGCUGCCUGGGCCCCUGGAGGGUAUCUG
rnacentral:lncRNA from 1 species